rnacentral:rRNA from 1 species
AACGGGUAGGAAUACCUCGGAACAUACCCUCAGGUCGGGGAUAGCGGCGGGAAACUGCCGGUAAUACCCGAUGAUAUCGAGAGAUCAAAGGUUUACUGCCUGGGGAGUGGCCGAGGCGAUAUUAGCUAGUUGGUGAGGUAAUGGCUCACCAAGGCAUAGAUGUCUAGGGGGCGUGAGAGCGCGACCCCCACCACUGGGACUGAGAAACUGCCCAGACACCUACGGGUGGCUGCAGUCGAGAAUCUUCGUCAAUGGGGGAAACCCUGAACGAGCGACGCCGCGUGUGGGAUGAAGGCCUUUGGGUUGUAAACCACUGUCAGGGGGGAUGAAACCGCAAGGUUGACAGAGCCCCAGAGGAAGCACGGGCUAAGUUCGUGCCAGCAGCCGCGGUAAUACGAACUGUGCGAACGUUAUUCGGAAUCACUGGGCUUACAGGGUGCGUAGGUGGCCGGACAAGUCAGGUGUGAAAUCCCUCAGCUCAACUGAGGAACUGCGCUUGAAACUGUUUGGCUAGAGUGAGCUAGGGGUGCUUGGAACUGCCAGUGGAGCGGUGAAAUGUGUUGAUAUUGGCAGGAACACCGGAGCCGAAAGGGAAGCACUGGGGCUUAACUGACACUGAGGCACGAAAGCCAGGGGAGCAAACGGGAUUAGAUACCCCGGUAGUCCU